UACGUAGGCAGCAAGCGUUGUUCGGAGUUACUGGGCGUAAAGGGUGCGUAGGCGGCUCUAUAAGUAUGGUGUGAAAUCUCCCGGCUUAACUGGGAGGGUGCGCUAUAGACUGUGGGGCUAGAGUGUGGGAGAGGAAAGUGGAAUUCCGGGUGUAGCGGUGGAAUGCGUAGAGAUCCGGAGGAAGACCGGUGGCGAAGGCGGUCUGCUGGGCAGUUUCUGACACUGAGGCGCGACAGCGUGGGGAGCAAACAGG
rnacentral:rRNA from 1 species